UACGUAGGGUGCAAGCGUUGUCCGGAAUUAUUGGGCGUAAAGAGCUCGUAGGCGGUUUGUCGCGUCGAAUGUGAAAACCCGGGGCUCAACCCCGGGCCUGCAUUCGAUACGGGCAGACUAGAGUUCGGUAGGGGAGUCUGGAAUUCCUGGUGUAGCGGUGAAAUGCGCAGAUAUCAGGAGGAACACCGGUGGCGAAGGCGGGUCUCUGGGCCAUUACUGACGCUGAGGAGCGAAAGCGUGGGGAGCGAACAGG
rnacentral:rRNA from 1 species